GGGGGUGUAGCUCCGUGGUAGAGCAUUUAGUUAGCAUGGACAAUGGACAAAGUCCAGGGUUCCAUCCCAGCACCACCA
rnacentral:tRNA from 1 species